GCGGGCGUAGCUCAGCGGCUAGAGCGUCUGCCUUCCAAGCAGAAUGUCGUGGGUUCAAAUCCCAUCGCCCGCUCCA
rnacentral:tRNA from 1 species